CGUCCGCCGCCGCAAGGUAAGUUCCUGCCCAUCCCACCGUGUGUGUUUGCAGAGGAGAUCCUCCGCCGUCUCAUGGCCCUAUUCGGUUCAGACCUAGCUCCCCCCACCGCCCGUCCGUCCUUCCGCACUUGACUGCUCUCAAACCCUAACCCUCGCCGCCGGUCCUUGUCACCCCGUCGUCGUGCCCAUUGGCAGGCCUCGGCGACCUCCGUCCGCCGCACGUGGUAAGGCCCCCACCCAUCCCAAUGUGCCCCCCCCCGGUGAGAGGUGGUUCCGGUCGCCCAGCGCGCGAUCCUUCUCGGGCUGGGUCCCACGUUCUCCUCAGAGGAUGGCAUGAUGAAAGUGGGCUCGUGCUCACGAACCAUACUUGACUCCGGGUUUGUGCAGUGUACUCUUAGCGGCGUCGGUCAGACCAUCCGCCUCUCUCCUUCCAGCAUCAAGGUAACCUCUCCUUAUUUAGUACGUUUGUAUCAAGAAAACAGUGUUCCAUGUUCCAUCACAAAUGCAAAGAGGGUUCUCACGGAAACAGGAUGCCUCACACCGAUGGAGUUGGCUCUUUGCUACAUAUUAAGCAAAUAGUGUAUUUGUGUUGUUACUGCUUGGACUUUUAAACAUUUGCUCUCUAUAAUAUAUACUGAUUUAGUCAUAUCUUUUAUUUGUAGUAGGUUGCUUUUAUGGCAUCUUGAUCCAUCAAUUAUUAGGCUUGAUCUCUCAGUGAUGCUCAAGGAGUACUUGAUGAUGAGGCCGUCAUGAGGAAACAACUCCACGAGGCGAGAGAACAGCUGGUGAGACAAAGGUAAGAGUGUUUUUUACCUAUAUAUGUUUGCUGACUGAUGGCUGCAGAUAUCUCUUCACAGAAUUUGUUGAACAACAUUGGUACUAAUAUAUUCACUCUCUCUGUAGUUUGGAGGAAGGAACUUAGAAUUUGCUAAUCCUGAAGAAAGCUUAUUGUUUUUUUCGACUGAACCAACAAUUAUAUUUGGUUGUUGCCUCCCAAGACUGGCCCUAGGUGGCUAACUAUAAUGGCAUUAUCCGUGCACAAGGUCACCGUCAAGAGCUCAUCGAUGGGCUGGAAAACAUUGUCAAGGAACUCCUACUUGCAUUCGUGGAACGGUCUAAGCAGAGACCCAAGCAGCUGAUCUUCUACAGGGAUGGCGUAAGUGAGGGCCAAUUCAAACAAGUGCUGGAGCAAGAAAUCCAUGAGAUAGAGAAGGCAUGGACAGCUCUUUACAAUGAGAAGCCAAAGAUCACCUUCGUAGUGGUGCAGAAGAGGCACCACACAAGGCUCUUCCCCAGCAAACCAAAGGAUCGCCAAUACGCGGACAAGAGUGGGAAUAUUCGAGCUGGCACCGUAGUUGAUAAUAAUAUCUGCCACCCAACAGAAUUUGAUUUCUUCCUGUGCGGCCAUGCUGGGGCCAAGGGAACAAGCCGUCCUACGCAUUACCAUGUGCUACGAGAUGACAACAAGUUCACCGCAGAUGCUCUGUAGUCUCUAACAUAUAACUUGUGCUACAUCAAUCAAUUUACAGAGCAGAUGCUCUCUUGUUGACAACUCUCAUAAGAGUCGAUAAGUUUGUAGGUGUAACCCAAUGUAUCUUCAGCAGUUCUAAAGGACUGAACAUGUUACUAGAAAGAGGUGAAUGAAAGGACUACAGAGAGUUGUGAAAGAGGAAGCGGUGCGGGCUGGUGGAGUACCAGACGCUGCCGGCUUACCUGCGGGACAACGAGUACAUCCACCGCCACUACCGCUGCGA